CCCGUUCAAAAAUGCAGCGUUUUGACAAUCUUGAAAAACUCCAGUGUCGUUGAAUAAACAUAACCAGGGGCGAUAUAAGAGGCGGCCACGACGACGAUCAUGGCGGCAACGGCGGCAGAGACUGCCGAUCUUUUACUUUUUUUUUAAGCCACUGCAAUUCAUUUUAAGAUUUUUGACGUGCAUUUUACAGUAAACUGUCUUCACUUCAGUAAUUUCUGAUGUGCAUUCUUACUUUGAAUAUUAUUCGGUUAACAAUUUCAAUAUUUUGUAUAGUCAAUUGCUGAGAAUGGCUUGCCAAUUGUAGCUAAUAGGUUUUUCUCGUGGUAUUCUAGUUAUCGAUGCAUAUGCCGGUUUAAAUUUUGGAUUCGAUAUGGAUGGAGUUUGCUUGCUUGUAUUGAUCUAUGUUCAUCAAUGGAGAUCCUACCUUGAAGAUAAGCUAUUUUUCAUCCUUUUCUUGAUUUGCAUUUUUUAUUUUAGAAUUAUGAUAGGCUUAGAGAUGCAAGAACAGUUAUAUUUUGAUCUUCGAUAUGGGCGAAAUUGCUUUCUGCAUUUUUCACUCUUUGAAGCUCAAAUGUGAAUUUUUUUUUGUACAGGAUGAUCGGUAUGUUCUUAUGAUUAAAGCUAGUUUCUUAAGAUAUUCAUAAUAUCUCAGUUUAUUACAGUAGUGUAGCUGUGCUUAUUCAGCUAUAAAUUCUCUCAAUUGACAGUUAUUAGGCUAAUAGGCUACAAUGAAAAUAGGAAAAGUAGUAGUCCAUUGAUGAACUACCUAGCUCUCAUAGUUUAGAUUUUAGAAUUUAAUAAUUAAUCUAUGAAAUCCUUAGUUUACAACACGACAAUCUUUCCUAAUUUCUUGACCUCCAUUGAGACUGCUCAUUUUGAUCAUAGAGUUUACGAAAGCUUUCUCGAAACUCUGUUUCGAACUGGCAAACUUGUAUACCAAACCUUUGGUUUUCGGAUUCGUGAGCAGGGCUUGGUCAGAAGAAAACAGGGUUUUGCCUUGAAGGAUCAACUUGAAGUAGGUGUUAUCGAAAGCUGUUGAAGAAGGAUCCAUUGUUGCUCCGGCAUU
rnacentral:lncRNA from 1 species